UUCAUUCUGGUAGGGACACGAAGGGGUUAAGCCAGAGGCCUUCUGUUGUCUUCUUCCUUCCCCCGCUCCCCCGCCCGCUCCCUCGGGACCGCCGGGAUUGGUUGGCACUCAGCCAGCAGGCUGUCAAUCACCGAGUGUAAACAAGGCGCUGAUUGGCUGUUGUCCAGUCCGCACAGGGCCUCCUGAAAAAAGCAAUUACUGGCUCCGCGGUUUCAAGGCGGCCCAAGGCCGCUUGAUGAAAGGAGAUAAGCUGGGGACCGUUUCCAGGACCCCCGCGGGCCGACCCCGGCAGCCCGGGAGCCGAGGUGCGGCGGAGAGCCCGCGGAUCAAAGGAAUCCGGAGAGAAAGGGGAAGCCGGCGCACUGCCCCGGCCUGCCUUCGCCCGCGGGCAUCGCUGACCUGGGUUGGGGGCUUGGGCCACGGGUGGGGGCUCCGGGAUUGGGCGCCCGCUUCGGGCAGCGCAGCCAGCGGGGCAGCUCCGGAGAGCCCGGUGCUGGCAGGACCCUACUGAUGGCAGGAGCCCAGACCCCUCCUAUGGAAUGGGGGCCGGAUGGCUUAGUGGCUGGAGCUACCUACUCUGCUUGGGGACAAACGCUCUGGUAGGGCCUGAUGAAGGGAGGUGACUCUGCUUCCAGCCGAACCCUCCCCUCUCGCCCCCCAACCCGAUCCUGCCUGUCUGCCCUCUCUGGAAGGACACCUGCCUCCCGCAGACCAGUCUCAGCCCAGCCCAGCCGGAGAAAGUGCCGAAUAAGCAUUUGCUGCAGGCUGCUCUUCACGGCUGUGUUUGGGUGUGUUUACACGUGUCACUGUCAGGGUAUGUCUGGAUGGGGCCUCCAGGGGCCAGACUUCUCAGGCCUGGUCUCACACUGGGGGAGGGCUCUGGGAGAGGGGUGCAGGCUGAGUGUCAGGGUCUCCUCUGAUGAAACCCAGCCUGCCCAGGCAGAGCUGCAGAAGGAAAGCCAGGCCAGGAACAGAACCUAAAAAACAAGGACUGGGACCUGGCAUGCCCGUCGGCAGGGGCCACAGCUCAUCAGCCCCCACCACACAGGCCCCACAAGGCUCCUCGGAGCACCAAUUACAGAACUCAGGCAGCAGGAGGGCUGCACCUGCCCCUUCUACCCCCCCCCCCCCUCCAGGGUGGGCAGGAACCUGGCAGCCAGCAUCCUGUUGGAUUUCCUCACGUUCCCAGACUUGGAAAAGCCCCAGCCCCUGCCGGCCUGCUCCUCCCACCUCUGCCCCAGCAGAGGGCCCUAGAGGGUAAGGUGCUGCCCAUUCAGACUGGCUUCUGACAUACAAAAAACCGGAGGCCUGAGCGGCACACACCAGACCCUCCUCUUCCUGCUGUAAAGUUGCUGCUUUCAAGCUCCCCACUCACUUCCCAGACCCAGCUCUCCUACCCCACCCCCAAAAACCUCUGGGCAGAGCCACAACCCGCCCUAGCCUGCAGCAACCUAGAACUUUCCUUUCGAGUCAUGGCCAAGGCUGGAAACUCCCUCCCCAGCCAGCCUAGGGAAGAAAUCAGGGCUGGGAAGGCUCCGGACAUGUUUUGUUCAGCUCCCUCUUAUUUCUGAGGGGUUUGAGUCCUUGGCCUGCUUACCUGCGGCAUAUAUAGACCAAAAAUAAAUUAUUCCCAUAAAAAUCCCCAAAGAGCAGCUGGGCCUGCUGCAAAGCUCUUUCCUGCCAGUGUGGAGACAGGCAGCAGGGCUGGGGCUGGGGCUGGCGCAGCCACGCGGCUACUCUCCGGCCUGCCUGUGCACUGCCAGUCUCUUUUGUUAACAGGACAGUUGAUUGUUUAAUUAAAAAUCAUUCAGUAGGUCCAUUUUUUUCUGAUCUGCACAAAUACAUAUUCCCAAGCCCCCCUCAAUUCAUGACGCCAACUGGGGUGGAGUGGAGUGGAGUGGGUGUUGCAGGAAAAGUGUCCCACAGGGAGACUCCCGGAAAACUCCCUCUUCCAAAGGCCCAAACAAGGAAGGCCCGAGGAGCCCGCCUUAGGGUCAGCUCCCAGCGGCCACUUGGAGCACAUUUUUCUGAGCCAGGUCUCUAGCCAGGGCUGGGCCCAAGUCCCUUUCGAUAUGCAAACUCCAGCCCGGCCUGCGCCUGCCUGCUCCACCCGAGGAAAGCGCAGACACAAACGGGGCUUUUCUUUCUACCUGAACUGAUUUUGUUUGGUUUGUAUUUUUUAAUAGCAGGCAUUUGCGAUGCAAAAAGCCUCCCGAGGUGGGUGGGGACAAACCAAAGUCCCUACAUCGAGCCAGAAACAAAAGCCCUUUGGAAACUGAGCCGAAGGGCAGGCGGCAGGGCGCGCCUCCCGGACCCGCGUCGGGAGAAGUGGCGCGCUGCACCUACCGCGCGGCGGCUCCGCGGCGGCUGGGCUCCGGUUCCGGCGGCGGGCGUCCGGGAGCGGCUGUCGCGACCUGCUCGCCGGAGUCCGCCUCGCGCCCUAGAACGGGGAGGCGGCUGGAGGCGCCAUAAUCGCACAUUUAUGGCCUGGGUGACGUGCUUCCCUCUGCCACAAUGGGGCCCGGUGACAUUAAACAGAAAACUGAUGAGAGAGGAGCGAAAUCUAAUCUUCCCUCUGCGCGCUUAGCGGGGAGGAGGCUGGGGGACGGGAGGCAGAGUGGUCGCCACGAGUUGGUGCUUUCGGGGCCCCGCGCCAGAUGCUUCCUCCCGAAUUCGGGCUCCUGGACCGCGGGGCCGGGGAGGAACCGAGACUCGAGCCCCACCCUCCGCAGCCCGCGGACUCGCCAGCAUUUCGGGCGGAAUUUCGGCUCCUUUACGCACGCCCCGGCGCCGGGCGGAGCUGGGACCGAGCACCCCAGUCUCACCCGUUCCGAGGUCCCGGGACCCGCAUGGGGAUCCCGACGUGCCCCUCGCCCCUGCUCGGCUCCCCAACUCUGGGGGGGGCCCUCAUCAGCGCAGAGCUCCCCGCCCCCACUGCCUGGAGCCCGCGCCUGGGUCCGACCGGAAGACACCGGCUGCCCAGCCCCCACCGAGAGCAAGUGACCACGCGGGCCGCACCCGGGAUGGCUGCCCCGCGGCGCUUCGCUGGCCCGAGCGCCCGCUCUC